CCUACGGGAGGCAGCAGUGGGGAAUAUUGCACAAUGGGCGCAAGCCUGAUGCAGCGACGCCGCGUGAGGGAUGACGGCCUUCGGGUUGUAAACCUCUGUUAGCAGGGAAGCGGUACCUGCAGAGAAAGCGCCGGCUAACUACGUGCCAGCAGCCGCGGUAAUACGUAGGGCGCGAGCGUUGUCCGGAAUUAUUGGGCGUAAAGAGCUUGUAGGCGGUUUGUCGCGUCUGCUGUGAAAGGCCGGAGCUUAACUCCGUGUUUGCAGUGGGUACGGGCAGACUAGAGUGCAGUAGGGGAGACUGGAAUUCCUGGUGUAGCGGUGGAAUGCGCAGAUAUCAGGAGGAACACCGAUGGCGAAGGCAGGUCUCUGGGCUGUACUGACGCUGAGAAGCGAAAGCAUGGGGAGCGAACAGGAUUAGAUACCCUUGUAGUC
rnacentral:rRNA from 1 species